AAUGGAAUAGGCCAAGAGAAGGAUGGGCUUACAAAAGUGAGAGUCGACGUACUUAUAUCUACACCUAUGGUGUCAUUCUAGUAGUUCACAAAGAAUGGAGGAGGAAGCGCAACUGUCUAUGAAGCAUGUUAUCUUUCCGCCUCUUUCAUCGAGAAGUUCCCUUCCUUUUUUCUGAACUUUCUGAUUGAUAUGCCUAAGAAAAAAAUGUACAAAUUGGAGCUGUCCACCGCUUUUUUCUGUUGAAUAAAGAAGACGAAGACCGGGCCAAAAAGAAGAAGACCAAUUGUCCCUUGGUGGGGCACGCCGAAAAAAAAGAAGACGAAGACCCGCUCUCCGGUCAACGAAACUCAAGGUUAAAUCAUCAAUCACAGCUCUUCCGCUUAGAGUUAGGCGCAGAUUGACAAUAAUGGCUUCUUCCGAUGCUGGUCGCGAGGGUAGGAUGGUGGAUUUUUGCACUCCUUGCUGGAAACCACUUUUCCGUACUCACAAACCAUCUCACGAGUGCAAGACAAUUGAUAAGAUCGGGUCCGACCAUGCACCAGCAGCACCGCACUCUCGAGUUAUGGAGUACGAAGUCUUCCUGAGCUUCAGGGGCCCAGAUACCCGCAGAGGAUUCGCUGAUUAUCUGUACUUCAGCCUGAGAGAUGCGGGCGUCCGUGUCUUUCGGGACAAUGAGGAGCUCCGCUCAGGCGACGAGAUCGGUCCCGGGCUUUGCCAAGGGAUCCUACAGUCAAAGAUCUCCAUUCCCAUCUUCUCCGAAGGGUAUGCGUCCAGCAAAUGGUGCCUCAGGGAGCUUGCUAUUAUCGCCGAAUGUAGGAGGAAAGUGGAGCAAAUCGUGAUGCCCAUCUUCUACGACGUUACGCCCGAUCAAGUUAAGAACCAGACCGGUAAAUACAAAGAAGCACUUAGGCGGCACGCCAACGAGUGUCGUCAGUGCGUUGGGCAGUGGAGGAGCGCUCUAUCGGAGGUAGGGCGUUUGAAGGGUUGGGUAUUAAAGGACACCGCUGACGGGCAUGAGGGACAGUUGAUAAGAUUAGUAGUUACGGCGGUUCUCCGUCAACUGAAGAAACUCUACCUUCCCCUGACCAAAUAUUUGGUCGGAGUUGAAAAACAUGCAAAUGACAUAAUGAACUUGUUAGAUGUCGGAGUUGGAGAUGUGAGAAUCGUGGGGAUUUACGGUAUAAGUGGCACUGGCAAGACAACUCUCGCCAAGCACAUCUAUAAUAAACUUCUGAAUGGUUGUGAAUUUGAAGGCUGUUGCUCCCUUGUUAAUGUCCGAGAGAGAUCCCUGCAGCCCAAUGGCCUGCAACAGUUGCAGAAUAAGUUAGUUGCUGACAUCACGAGGAGUGAAUGCCAAUAUUUUGGUAGUAUUGAUGAAGGAAUCAACAUUUUGCAGUACAGGUUUCGUGAAAGGAAAGUCCUCAUUCUUCUUGACGAUGUUAAUCACCCUAAACAGCUCGAGGCAUUGGUGGCAGAGCGCGAAUGGUUUGGUUUAGGAAGUCGGAUAAUUGUCACAACCACUAAUGGACGCAUAUUAAGAGAAGCAUCUCAAGUAAAUAACUCCUACGAGCUUGGGGGAAUGCGGCAUGAUGAAGCUCUCGAACUGUUCAACAGGCAUGCUUUUAGAAAUGACCCCUCAGUAAACACUUACACCGCUAGACUGAAUAAUUUGGCCAGUGAAAUCGUGAAGGCAACGGGAGGGCUUCCUUUAGCUCUGGAGAUUAUAGGUAGUUUUCUAUAUGGCCGAUGCGAGGAACAAUGGAAAGCAAUGCUUGAGAAGUUGAUAACAAGAGCUGACAAGGAAGUCCUUGAUAAGUUAAGGAUCAGUUACGACGAUUUGGAAGAUGAAUACAAAGAAAUUUUCCUAGAUGUGGCGUGCUUUUUUAUUGGAGAGGAUAUCAGAGUUGUGAUCCACAUGUGGAGAGAUUGCAAUUUUUUCCCUGAAGUUGGGAUUCAAGUGCUCCAACUGAGGUCCCUUAUUAAAAUAGGAGAAGAUAAAAAGCUAUGGAUGCAUGAUUCGCUCCGAGAUCUUGGCAGAGCGAUUGUCCGACAGGAGAACAAGUCAUCAGGAAAGAGAAGAAGGUUGUGGUGCUCUGAAGAAGCAAAAGGCGUCCUCCGAGAACAUAAGGGAACAGAGAACAUCGAAGCUAUCUCGAUACAAAGUGGGCUUUCAUUUUCAAAGGAACAGUUCAGAGAAAUGCCAAAUCUAAGAUACCUUAGAUCGGAAGGUGCUUAUCCUGGGGGAGCAUUUCAACCUCUGUCAGAAUUAAGAUGGCUAAGUUGGCGAAAUGAUCCCUUUUUUUCCAUGGUGCCCUGUUUGCCAUUUCCAAAGUUAAAGAUUCUAGAUAUAUCCAGGAGCAAAGUAACAGAGGACUGGGACGGUUGGAGCUCUUUCAAGAAACUUGCAAUGCUGAAGGUUCUCGAUCUCAGUGGCUGCUGUCGGCUGACAACAACUCCUGACCUUUCCAUGUUUCCCGAUCUGGAAAGACUGAUUCUUGAAGACUGUAAAGAAUUGGCUAAAAUUCACCCAUCAAUGGUGGAUCUCCAGCAUCUGAGUUCCCUAAAUUUGAAGGGUUGUUUCCGAGUAAAGAAACUGCCUGAUCAAUUGGGGUCUAUGAAAAAACUGACAGAACUUAUCAUUGAUGGAACAUCCAUCUGUCGACUUCCAGAUUCCAUUGGCUCUUUAGAGAAUCUGCAGAGGUUGUCAGCAAAUAAUUGCCACUACUUAAAAGCAAUCCCGGACUCAAUUGGGCAGCUCCAUUCAUUAGUCGAGUUGAGCUUUUCAGAUGCAGGAGUGAAAAGUUUGCCCGAUUCUGUUGGGAAUCUGAACAACAUGGAAGUGCUCAACAUCAGUUCCAGUAAUAUAUCUCAUUUUCCAAGUGCAUUAGGGAAGCUGGGGAAGCUUAAAGUGAUAAAUGCAUCAAAGUGUUAUACCUUGAGUGGAGAUAUUCCUGCUGAGCUUGGGAAACUAUGUUCUUUAGAAGUAUUGAAAUUGGAUGAUACAAACAUUAACAGAAUCCCAGAAACUAUUGCUGGGCUUUCUCGUCUUCAGACUCUUGAUUUAACAGCAUGCCGAAGGCUUCACACUAUCCCAGAACUUCCUGUUAGUUUAGUUAACGUACGGGUGGCUUGUCAGUCGGUGGAUGCAAUCACGAAUCUCCCUGAUCUGAUAAGUUUGGAAGAAUUGGUGUUGAUUACGAGCACCCCACAAUGCCACUUCAGUUCCAUUCCUCAUGCUGAAGUACCUCCAAUUCGAGGUUCCACAUAUCUUCAAAGCCUUCCAAAGUUACCUGAAAGUUUGAACAAGCUAAACCUUCUGAACAACCCGCUUCAAGUAUUGCCGGAGCUUUCAAACUUGGAGAACUUAUUGGAGUUAUCUCUUGAAAAAUGCUACAAUCUUACUGAAAUUCCCGGCCUCGUGGAUUUGGUCGUCUUGAAAAGUCUGAAGGUGAGCUGGUGCCCACAUAUUACUAGCCUCGUCGGUCUUGAAAGGUUGAAGUCUCUGAAAAUCCUACAAGUUACCUCCUGCGAGAAACUUAAGAGACUUCCUGACCUGUCCACGUUACAGAAGUUGUCUGUAUUAAAUGUUAGAGGCUGCGAAAGUUUGGUUGCCAUUCAGGGUCUGGAUAGAUUAUAUGCCUUGACUGAAUUAGACAUAGGCAAUUGCAAGUGCAUACAAAGUUUACCUGAUCUGUCGAACUUGACAUUGUUGCAAUCUUUGUCUGCCGAUGGUUGCAAGAAGCUGCAGGGACUCGAAGGGCUUGGUGAAUUGGAAGAAUUGUUAUCAUUACGAAUCUCAGGGUGCAGAGAAAUCAAAUGUCUCCCAAAUCUAUCGAAGCUGAAGAGGUUGAGGCAUCUCGAUAUUGCAGGCUGCAAGGGCAUUUCAGAGGUCUGUGGACUAUUGGAGAUGAAAUUUCUGAAGCGCAUAGUUGUUAACAGAUGUGCAAGCCUUAAAAAAUUUCGGGAGCUCCCGGAAUUAAUGGACAUGAUCUCUUCUGGUCGUGACAACCUAUCAGCAGUAAGCCGAAGUAUUGCUGAACGCCAUAAGCCUUUAACAAUCUCGGGAAAUGCACCUAGACGAGCAAGUUCUGUGUCCAUCAAAGGCCUAACGGUUGCGGUACAAGGAUUCAACGUGAUUGCAAUUUACCCAUGUGACAAUAAUCGUAUCAUAAGAAGUGUACCAGAACACUUGAACUAGGAAACAUUCUGCUUUCAUCGAGCAGCACAUGAGGAGGAAGCAUCAACUUAUUCUACUGCAGUCACACAUUUCCAAGUUUUAAGUGAUUGACUGAUGAAUUUAUUGGGGUUCUGCUCUUUUUGUUCAAAAGAUUGCAAGCAUGGAGAAAGAAUUCUCCAACAAUUAAACUUACUUAGUGAAGAUCAGGAAUUCGGAGAAGGAUUAAUGCCUGCCAUAUUUAAUUCUCGGGAUCGACUUCACCAUAGGAGUUAACAUACUAUGCAGAUCCGAAUUUUUGGAGUCAGUUUUCUGCACCUGUGCUUGAGAUUGACCUGCUGAGUUGCCGAAGAAAACAGAUAAGUUCGGGUGGAACUGUGUGUCGAGCAGAGUUUGCUUUUGGCCUGAUGAAAGAAUGACAGGACCCAUGACAGGCCCUCGAUCUGCUGGAACUCUAGACAGAAGAUGGCACAUAUCCAUCCCCGUCCCAUGGUAGUGCGGCAUAAUGGCGCAAAAUUACGGAUGGGGCAGGUGCUGGUUCCUCCUCCUUUGAUGCCGAUUAUCCUCUUUUUGGUUUACGGGGCAGCUUGGGCCAAGUAACUGCUAUAGCUACCAAUAAAGUACCAGGAGAUGACCUGCUUCUGUCUUGAGGGCUUGGUUGUACCCGCUUCUGUCUUAAGGGCUUGGUUGUGGACUUGGCUUGCAGUUGACAAUGACAUUUCCGGAAUAGGAGUUCAUGCUUGGUACAGAUCCCUGUACUCUGGCUGGACGUCUUCAAGCCUGGAGGUGAUUAACCCAAAACUUUAUUUGGGGUGCUCGAUGACAUUACGUCCCUAGUAACUUAUUCUAGUAGCCAAGCGUUAGGGAGAGCCCAGCACUAGAACCGAAUACACGAGUCACUACACAAUUAGGCAGAUGAACAACGACAAUAAUGUGUCAUAUUAUACCAUAUGGACAACAUUUAUGCAACCAAGCUAAGAAUGGAAAGGGGGAAAUCGAAAUUCAUCUUCCAGUCUUGCUACUUCAAUUCAAGGCACUGCUCCCAGUUGCCAUUUUGAUGUCGUCUUCCUCAUAUCAUGCACUAUCAUCUCACCGCCAUCACAGUCGAAGACAACCUUGCCAUCCCAAGAGCAUAUCAUUGCCAAGCACCCUGACGGAACUAAUAUCUUCCUCAACGAGAUUGUAAACAACUUACUCCAGGAUGUACCCACACCAUAUUCCUUCAUCAUCCAUGGCCCAAAACCAUCCUCCCGAAAAAGUUAGGGCUGUAAAUUCAAAUGGCCGUCAAUAAUUCCUACUCCCAUCCCAUGAAACUUAUGAGCCGCCAAUCUACUUUGGGCAUUGGGAUCACCUCCAUGAAUUUCUCCUUAGCCAUAUCCAAUGAAACAAUGGAAUCGCCAUCACUCCGAGGUUCAUGCUUUCCCAACCAAUGUAGAGCCCCAUCAGAUAUACCGUGUCGCUCUGUCAGAGGAAAACAUUCUGAAAUUACCCUUGGGUUUGUGGUUGAUCCUUCUCCAAACAUUUGACUUCAGAGAGUGAAAAUCUCCAUUACAGUUUCCAUCGAACCACCAAAAAAAUGAGUAACGGUUCCCACCAAACCUUCAAGAAUAUCAGUCACAGUUUCCAUCAAACUGCCAACUGCCUUUGAAGGAAACCAAUCUUACUAACUUGUAAUUAUUAGUUUCAUUAGUACCCAAGCCCAUAGAGGUAUUGAACCAUACGAUGACGUCCAAGGGGAUUGAAACUGGGCCACGGCAGCUUCCUCAAUUCCCCAGUGGAGGGGUUCCACAAAGCAAUGGAAUCCUGACAGUCGACAACACAAACUAAGCAUACCAAUCCAUCACAUGAGGCUAUAAUGGUAGGUUUAUUCUGCAAGCAGCUGACGGAUCCUGAAGAUACAAUAUUCCCUUACCAGCGGCAUUAUCCUCAAAUAUUUCAUAGCUUAUGGACUGAAUCGGAUUGUUUUUCAGGAUUCGCUGAUGAGAAGCUGAUCCUUUGACAGUGAUCGCUCCAGAUGCAACUUGGCAAACUGUGAAUUUGAAUCAGCGCAUGCCACUACUUGCAAGUUCUCUCUAACUGCAACAGCGGCCUCGCGGGCAACCGUGAAAAUAUAUUAGUCAGAAUGUCCUCAUUCAAAUUCUCCAAAGCUCUGGUUUGAACUCCCUGCUAAAGUGGAGGAAGAAAUUCUAGAAACUAACAGCGGUACGAUACAAGUUAUCAAAUUUAAUCUCGAUGCGAUUGCUUCAUAUACUUUCAUUUACAAAUGUAGGAGGGGCAAGCAUAAGACAGGAAGAAGCAGGAGGCCUUGACCCGUGAUUAAUGACCAAAUGAUUA